AGAACCUGGACAAGGGGCAAUAGGCACAAAGUGGAACACGGGAAGUACCAUACAAAUGUGAGGGAACUUGCUUUAGCAGAAGGUUGGACUCGAUGAUCCUCAGAGGUCCCUUCCUACAGCUACAAUUCUGUGAUAUGUUGGUUUUACCUCCUCUGAUAAAUCAAUUGUCCAUCUGGAAGACAAAGCAACACCCCCAUGCUGAUAUGCUUUGUAUUAGAAGAACUGAAGAAGCACAGGAGGAAGGGAACUAGAGAAACACCAGGGGAAAACCUGUGAACACAAAUCUUUGUAUGAAGCUCUGCUGACUUCAUAUCUUCCAAAAGGUCAGGCAGAAACAGAUGGCAGCCCCUUUUCCCAUACUUAAAAGAGCAUGUAACUAUGUCCUAAAACAGAAGGAAGAAUGAGUAGUGGAAAAUCCCAAUCUUUCAGCAAAAAAAAAAUAUGUAUAUGCAUAUACAGGACUCGGCAUGAAGCUUUCACAGAAGUGGCAUGGGUCUUUACUGUAAAGAAAAAGCAAACAAUAGGAAUCCAUACUUUCAAAGUAUUUUUAUCAGUUGUAGGUUCUUCAGUCUUCAUUUCUUUACUAUGCUGAAAAUUGCAUUCCAUAACUAGUCUAAAGUUAUGUUGAGUUUCAGACCUUAAAUAUUAACCCGAUUUCAGAAAUAAAGUUCUGCAAUAGAAAAUGAUGUAAAAAAGGUCAUACAGUGUGGUUCUCUUAUUUUCUAUAACAUGAGGCAACAGUUGAUUACACUGAAUAGCAAGCAAGAUUAAAGGGAAAUGAAAUUUAAAAAUGAAAAAUAAAUCCUAACUAACUUCUGUCUUCAAUCUCAUCUUCAAUGGCAAGUGAAACAGUAUGGUACAGGCACAAACAUCACUGCAGCAACCACAUAAACAUGGCUGGGGGAGAUCACAAUUGUGAAUGUGUGAUUAGUGUCACCACACUCGGAGUAUGUUAACAGGGCGGCAGAAGAACAGACCAAAAGAAAAAAGGAAAGGCUCCCUUUCCCUCAGCACCCUUUCUGGCUGGGCCUGUAGAAAACCAGUCCAUUUACUGCGAAACCACUUGUGGUAACCAAAAAAGGGAACUCUCAUUGUGGUUGAAAAUGGUUUUUGAACUGUGAAGGUACAAGUUCUCUUUUUCAGUAAGCCACAUUAUUUUUUUCUACAUAGACCUCAUUGAAGAGAUUUGGGUUUAAAUUAUUACUGAAUCAAUGACAAUUAACAUAUUAGCUAUUUUACUCAGAAGAACUUCCUUCACUUCUGUCUGUGUACUGAACCAUGAAGCAUUCGGGAAUCCCAGCCUGCUCUGAAGGGAACUGGAUCAUCAAGUUACAGCUCAUUUCAGGUCCAGUCGCUGUAUUUCAUUUCACUGAGAUUUUAUGUCAUUCGUUUCAGUCACAGGAGGACAUGAAGCAGCCACAGAUGUUGCAAAGUUGACGACUGAGUUUGAAAGUUGACAAUUAAGUUUGAUUUUAAUUAGUAAAGCCUCUGCUAACUCCUUAUAAGUAUGGAACUGUUGUGUCAGUAGAAGAAUCCUCCAUUUGAGGGCCGGCCAGCAGAAGAGCAUCCUUGCCGCUAGAGUGAGCAGACUGAAGCCUGAGAACCCAUGCAGUAGGACAAUAUGUUCUUUCAUUUCUUGCACAAAUGCUGACGUGUGUGCCAGCUAGAACUUUUUCUUCACUUGUAGCGCCUGUUACUUGAAUCUUUGUUUCUUGUGUCUUCUCUAGACCUCCUUUUCAGCUGUAAAUUGUUUACUUGAGGAUGAAGGAAAGUAAUUUGUGCUCUUCUAUUUUGCUCAGCAAAAUAUAUCAUUAAUUUUGCUUUGGAUGUAGAAUUUUAUUUUGAGUAUCUUGGUGUCAGAUACUGAUGUGAAAUAAGUUGAAAUCAUUUACAGGUCUUCCUGAGCUUAUCUACAGUUCCUUAAUGGCCUGAAAGACUGAAAAGUAUUAGUGUCCUUUUCAAGGCUGUGUAGGAGAAGAACCAAAGUGGAAAAUGAGGCAUCCUCUCUUUCCUUUUAAUACCUCUUUGUUAUGCAAGUAUAUUGAUCAUUGUCUGCAGUAACAGUGGAACAGUUCUGUGGCUGCUCUGAAAAUUAGAAGAAAAUGUUUUCCCUUCCUCAGCCUAACU
rnacentral:lncRNA from 7 species